rnacentral:rRNA from 1 species
AUGAACGCUGGCGGCGUGCCUAAUACCUGCCAGUCGAGCGAACAGACGAGGAGCUUGCUCCUCUGACGUUAGCGGCGGACGGGUGAGUAACACUUGGAUAACCUACCUAUAAGACUGGGAUAACUUCGGGAAACCGGAGCUAAUACCGGAUAAUAUAUUGAACCGCAUGUUUCAAUAGUGAAAAGCGGUUUUGCUGUCACUUAUAGAUGGAUCCGCGCCGCAUUAGCUAGUUGGUAAGGUAACGGCUUACCAAGGCAACGAUGCGUAGCCGACCUGAGAGGGUGAUCGGACACACUGGAACUGAGACACGGUACAGACACCUACGGGAGGCAGCAGUAGGGAAUCUUCCGCAAUGGGCGAAAGCCUGACGGAGCAACGCCGCGUGAGUGAUGAAGGUCCUCGGAUCGUAAAACUCUGUUAUUAGGGAAGAACAAAUGUGUAAGUAACUAUGCACGUCUUGACGGUACCUAAUCAGAAAGCCACGGCUAACUACGUG